rnacentral:tRNA from 1 species
GGGGUUGUGGCUCAGUGGUAGAGCGCUUGCCUAGCAUGCAUGAGGCACUGGGUUCAAUUCUCAACACCA